UACGAAGGGGGCGAGCGUUGUCCGGAAUUAUUGGGCGUAAAGAGCUCGUAGGCGGUUUGUCGCGUCUGCUGUGAAAUCCCGAGGCUCAACCUCGGGUCUGCAGUGGGUACGGGCAGACUGGAGUGCGGUAGGGGAGAAUGGAAUUCCUGGUGUAGCGGUGGAAUGCGCAGAUAUCAGGAGGAACACCAAUGGCGAAGGCAGCUCUCUGGGACGGUACUGACGCUGAGACGCGAAAGCGUGGGGAGCGAACAGG
rnacentral:rRNA from 1 species